UAAAGUUCCAACGGUACAAGAUGAGCAUGCGUCCCAUUAGCUAGUUGGUGUGGUAACGGCAUACCAAGGCAACGAUGGGUAGGGGUCCUGAGAGGGAGAUCCCCCACACUGGUACUGAGACACGGACCAGACUCCUACGGGAGGCAGCAGUGAGGAAUAUUGGUCAAUGGGCGCAAGCCUGAACCAGCCAUGCCGCGUGCAGGAUGACGGUCCUAUGGAUUGUAAACUGCUUUUGUACAGGAAGAAACCCUCCCUUGUAAGGGAGCUUGACGGUACUGUAAGAAUAAGGAUCGGCUAACUCCGUGCCAGCAGCCGCGGUAAUACGGAGGAUCCAAGCGUUAUCCGGAAUCAUUGGGUUUAAAGGGUCCGUAGGCGGUUUUAUAAGUCAGUGGUGAAAUCUGGUCGCUCAACGAUCAAACGGCCAUUGAUACUGUAAGACUUGAAUUACUUGGAAGUAACUAGAAUAUGUAGUGUAGCGGUGAAAUGCUUAGAGAUUACAUGGAAUACCGAUUG
rnacentral:rRNA from 1 species